GUAUGUGUGGCGUAGCUAGGUAGCGCACUACACUGACAGGGGUCACAGGUUCAAAUCCUGUCGCGUCGUCCA
rnacentral:tRNA from 1 species